UUGUAGCAUUCUGUUUCCGGUCUCCUGAGAGUGAAAAGGGAAUCCAGUGCAAAUCUGGAGCUGACGCGCAGCGGUAAAGACUGGCGGGAUGAGAGUUGUAGACACUGUGAAAAUGGGGAAGUCUUCAUCCGUAUAACGCCACCCAGCCCGAAGACCUGCCGGGAUCACGUCGCAUUU
rnacentral:ncRNA from 2 species